AUUGAACGCUGGCGGCAUGCCUUACACAUGCAAGUCGAACGGUAACAGGUCUUCGGAUGCUGACGAGUGGCGAACGGGUGAGUAAUACAUCGGAACGUGCCCGAGAGUGGGGGAUAACGAAGCGAAAGCUUUGCUAAUACCGCAUACGAUCUCAGGAUGAAAGCAGGGGACCGCAAGGCCUUGCGCUCACGUAGCGGCCGAUGGCAGAUUAGGUAGUUGGUGGGAUAAAAGCUCACCAAGCCGACGAUCUGUAGCUGGUCUGAGAGGACGACCAGCCACACUGGGACUGAGACACGGCCCAGACUCCUACGGGAGGCAGCAGUGGGGAAUUUUGGACAAUGGGCGCAAGCCUGAUCCAGCCAUGCCGCGUGCAGGAUGAAGGCCUUCGGGUUGUAAACUGCUUUUGUACGGAACGAAAAGACUCUGGUUAAUACCUGGGGUCCAUGACGGUACCGUAAGAAUAAGCACCGGCUAACUACGUGCCAGCCGCCGCUGUAACAC
rnacentral:rRNA from 1 species